rnacentral:lncRNA from 1 species
CGGGCUGGCCGGCGCCGGCCGGGUGUCGCGGGUUCGAGCCCCGCCACCGGCGAAGGGGGGGCAGGUGGCGGGCCCGCCUGGGGCUGGGGGCUCCGCGGGGGCGGCAGCAGCGGCGCUCCGCCAGGCCAGAACUGCUCACAGAGUUGAGAUGCUGCUGUGUCUGAGAACCCAGCUUCAGAAACGCUGCAGAAUGGCUCUCCUGAGGCUGAGCUGUGCUAGAGGGAGGGAGGAGAUGCGCUGCUGAAGUGCUGGUGCCAGUGCCGAUUGUCAUUCCCCUGGGAAGACACGCAGCAAGGAGCACGUUUCAAAUAGGGUAAGUGUCUCUUCAGCAAAACCAGGCUGCCAGAUGGGGGCUGAGGUCCUCGCUCUGCCCUGGCUCCAGCAAGGCAUCGCUCCAGAGCCAGUCGG